rnacentral:pre_miRNA from 1 species
UAAAUACUCCCUCCGUCCGAAAAUACUUGUCCUCAAAAUGGAUAAAAAGAGAUGCAUCUAAAACUAAAAUAUGUCUAGAUAUAUUUCCUUUUAUCCAUUUUGAUGACAAGUAUUUCUGGACGAAGGGAGUAUUUG